rnacentral:piRNA from 1 species
UGGGCAAAUUCACACAGAUGGAGAGUA